rnacentral:rRNA from 1 species
AUUGAACGCUGGCGGCAGGCCUAACACCUGCAAGUCGAGCGAGCGGCGGACGGGUGAGUAAUGUAUGGGUACUGCCCGAUAUAGGGGGAUAACUACUGGAAACGGUAGCUACUACCGCAUACUAUCGGAUAACCCCUAUGGGAUUAGCUAGUAGGUGAGGUAAUGGCUCACCUAGGCGACGCUCCCUCGCUGGUCUGAGAGCAUGAUCAGCCACAGUGGGACUGAGAAACGGCCCAGACUCCUACGGAGGCAGAAGUGGGGAAUAUUGCACAAUGGGGGAAACCAUGAUCCAGCCAUCCCGCGUGUAUGAUGAAGGCCUUCGGGUUGUAAAGUACUUUUGGCAGAGAAGCGGUAUCUGCAGAAGAAGCGCCGGCUAACUACGUGCCAGCCGCCGCGGUAAUAC